AUGCUGUGGCUGGGCCCGGGCGGCAGGGCUGUCGGCAGGCCGCACCGCAGCGCGCGGCCGCCAGGAGGCGCCAGAGGCCUCUCCUCACGCGCUCUGCUUCUCCGCCCGCGGACGCCGCGCCAGAGCCCGCGAGCUAGGGGAGCCACAGCGCUGCGGGCUCACAAAGCGGCUGGACGCGCCGCGGCGGCUGCGGCUGGUGGCAGAAGCUCGGGUAACCAGCCGGCGCCCACCCUUCUCUGCGACCGCCUCACGGGAGCUCGAGCAACUCGGACGCGGGGACCUGGGCCGGCCAGUCAGAGGGCUGCGAGCGCGGUGCUGGCGGCAGCCGCCGCGGCGUGGUGCUUCCUCCAAGUCCACAGCCUGCACCUAGACCCACUCGCCGGGGGCGCGGGCCCCAACCACGGCAAUUUCCUGGACAAUGACCAGUGGCUGAGCACCGUCUCCCAGUACGACCGGGACAAGUACUGGAACCGCUUCCGAGGCGAUGAUUAUUUCAGAAACUGGAAUCCCAACAAGCCCUUUGACCAAGCCCUGGACACGUCCAAGGACCCCUGCCUAAAGGUGAAGUUAGCCCUCACAAAGUGUGUGUGACCCAGGACUACCAGGCUGCCCUGUGUGUCAGCCGCGAGCUCCUGCUCCCAGGCAAAAGAAAGGGAACAUGGCCCAUAAACACUGGGUUGGACCUUCAAACUUGGUCAAGUGCAAGCCCUGUCCUGUGUCGCCCAUGGUCUGCGGCUCUGGCGGCCACACAUACACGUCCAAGUGCAAAUUGGAAUUCCAGGCUUGCUCUACUGGCAAGAGCCUCACCAUCCUCUGUGAUGGGCCCUGUCAGUGUCUCCCAGAGUCUGAAUCACCAAAACACAAGAUAGAGAAGAACACCUGCACAGACAAGGAAUUGAGGAACCUUACUUCACGGCUAAAAGACUGGUUUGGAGCCCUUCAUGAGGAUGCCAAAUGAAUCAUCAAGCUCACCAGCUCUGACCCUGCCCAAGGCAGGUUUGAUACCAGUAUCCCAUCUGCAAGGACUCCCUGGGGCUGGAUGUUCAACAAGUUGAACAUGAACUACGAUCUCCUGCUUGACCACUCAGAGAUCAAUGCCAUCUACCUGGAUAAGUAUGAGCCUGUAUCAAGCUUCUCUUCAACUCUUGCUACUCCUUCAAGGAUGAAAAACUCUCUAACAAUGAGAGUUUUGAGUGGUGCUACUGCUUCCAAAAGCCUGGAGGUUUCCCUUGCCAGAAUGAAAUGAACAGAAUUCAGAAGCUGAGCAAGGGGAAAAGCCUGUUGGGGGCGUUCAUACUCCGGUGUAAUGAGGAGGGCUGUUUACAAAGCUACACAGUGCCAUGGCAGCACGGGGCAGUGCUGUUGUGUGGAUAAAUGUGGCAACGAGCUGGCUGGCACCAGGAAACAUAGCGCUGUGAGCUGUGAAGAGGAGCAGGAAACCUCAGGGGAUUUUGGCAGUGGCGGCACGGUGGUCCUGCUCGAUGACCUAGAGGAUGAACAGGAGCUUGGCCCAAAGGACAGAGAGGGGAAGCUGCGGGUACACACCUGGGCCGUGAUGGAGGAUGAAGAUGAUGACAAAGAGGAUGAGGUUGGGUACAUAUGGUAA